UACGUAGGGGGCAAGCGUUGUCCGGAUUUAUUGGGCGUAAAGAGCGUGUAGGCGGCCAGGUAGGUCCGCUGUGAAAACUCGAGGCUCAACCUCGAGAUGUCGGCGGAAACCAUCUGGCUAGAGUCCGGAAGAGGAGAGUGGAAUUCCUGGUGUAGCGGUGAAAUGCGCAGAUAUCAGGAAGAACACCCGUGGCGAAGGCGGCUCUUUGGGACGGUACUGACGCUGAGACGCGAAAGCGUGGGGAGCGAACAGG
rnacentral:rRNA from 1 species